rnacentral:rRNA from 1 species
ACGUGCCCGAGAGUGGGGGAUAACGAAGCGAAAGCUUUGCUAAUACCGCAUACGAUCUCAGGAUGAAAGCAGGGGACCGCAAGGCCUUGCGCUCACGGAGCGGCCGAUGGCAGAUUAGGUAGUUGGUGGGAUAAAAGCUUACCAAGCCGACGAUCUGUAGCUGGUCUGAGAGGACGACCAGCCACACUGGGACUGAGACACGGCCCAGACUCCUACGGGAGGCAGCAGUGGGGAAUUUUGGACAAUGGGCGCAAGCCUGAUCCAGCCAUGCCGCGUGCAGGAUGAAGGCCUUCGGGUUGUAAACUGCUUUUGUACGGAACGAAAAGACUCUGGUUAAUACCUGGGGUCCAUGACGGUACCGUAAGAAUAAGCACCGGCUAACUACGUGCCAGCAGCCGCGGUAAUACGUAGGGUGCGAGCGUUAAUCGGAAUUACUGGGCGUAAAGCGUGCGCAGGCGGUUAUAUAAGACAGAUGUGAAAUCCCCGGGCUCAACCUGGGAACUGCAUUUGUGACUGUAUAGCUAGAGUACGGCAGAGGGGAUGGAAUUCCGCGUGUAGCAGUGAAAUGCGUAGAUAUGCGGAGGAACACCGAUGGCGAAAGGCAAUCCCCUGGGCCUGUA